GACGAACGUUGGCGGCGUGCCUAAUACAUGCAAGUCAACUGAAAUACCGGUAGCAAUACUGGUAUGGAGGUGGCGCACGGGUGAGUAACACGUAGGUAAUCUGCCUUCAGGUCUGACAUAACCCAUGAAAGGUGAGCUAAUAUCAGAUGAUGCAGCGGCUUGACAUCAAGACAGUUGUUAAAGCUUCGGCGCCUGAAGAUGAGCCUGCGUCUGAUUAGCUAGUUGGC
rnacentral:rRNA from 1 species